rnacentral:rRNA from 1 species
UACGGGGGGGGCAAGCGUUGUUCGGAAUUACUGGGCGUAAAGGGCUCGUAGGCGGCCAACUAAGUCAGACGUGAAAUCCCUCGGCUUAACCGGGGAACUGCGUCUGAUACUGGAUGGCUUGAGUUUGGGAGAGGGAUGCGGAAUUCCAGGUGUAGCGGUAAAAUGCGUAGAUAUCUGGAGGAACACCGGUGGCGAAGGCGGCAUCCUGGACCAACACUGACGCUGAGUGAGCGAAAGCCAGGGGAGCAAACGGG